rnacentral:lncRNA from 1 species
CUAAUUUAAGAUGUUUAUGUAAACGCAAUCAAUGUUGAAGAAAAAACACUAGUGUGGACGAUAAUGUAUAUUGUUGGGCUUAAAACAUUCACUGCAGAAGGAAAAAGAAUUGAAGCAAAAAAGGUUUAAAAUAAAAGACUUGCCUCGUGUAUAAGAACAGUUGCAUCUCGAGAUGCUUCUAUUAGCUCUGGGCAGGGCCGUGUGUCACCAGAAUAUACAAUCUUCCAACCAGGUAUCACUUUUCCAACACUAUUAAUCCUUUCUUCUGCUUUUAGGACAACACCAUAUGACUGUGGACAAUGCACAACAGGAAAACUAAUCAAGGCACUGAGACCGGCUUCUUGGAUUACCCCCUUCAAUUUCCUUAGGAGGGGAUAAACUGCAUCUUUGUCAACAGGACUA